CCUACGGGAGGCUGCAGUGGGGAAUAUUGCACAAUGGGCGCAAGCCUGAUGCAGCCAUGCCGCGUGUGUGAAGAAGGCCUUCGGGUUGUGAAGCACUUUCAGCGGGGAGGAAGGCGGUGAGGUUAAUAACCUCAUCGAUUGACGUUACCCGCAGAAGAAGCACCGGCUAACUCCGUGCCAGCAGCCGCGGUAAUACGGAGGGUGCAAGCGUUAAUCGGAAUUACUGGGCGUAAAGCGCACGCAGGCGGUCUGUCAAGUCGGAUGUGAAAUCCCCGGGCUCAACCUGGGAACUGCAUUCGAAACUGGCAGGCUAGAGUCUUGUAGAGGGGGGUAGAAUUCCAGGUGUAGCGGUGAAAUGCGUAGAGAUCUGGAGGAAUACCGGUGGCGAAGGCGGCCCCCUGGACAAAGACUGACGCUCAGGUGCGAAAGCGUGGGGAGCAAACAGGAUUCGAUACCCGUGUAGUC
rnacentral:rRNA from 1 species